rnacentral:rRNA from 1 species
AGUGAACGCUGGCGGUAGGCCUAACACAUGCAAGUCGAACGGCAGCACAGUAAGAGCUUGCUCUUACGGGUGGCGAGUGGCGGACGGGUGAGGAAUACAUCGGAAUCUACUUUUUCGUGGGGGAUAACGUAGGGAAACUUACGCUAAUACCGCAUACGACCUACGGGUGAAAGCAGGGGAUCUUCGGACCUUGCGCGAUUGAAUGAGCCGAUGUCGGAUUAGCUAGUUGGCGGGGUAAAGGCCCACCAAGGCGACGAUCCGUAGCUGGUCUGAGAGGAUGAUCAGCCACACUGGAACUGAGCGACGGUCCAGACUCCGACGGGAGGCAGCAAUGGGGAAUAUUGGACAAUGGGCGCAAGCCUGAUCCAGCCAUACCGCGUGGGUGAAGAAGGCCUGCGGGUUGUAAAGCCCUUUUGUUGGGAAAGAAAAGCAGCAGGUUAAUACCCCGCUGUUCUGACGGUACCCAAAGAAUAAGCACCGGCUAACUUCGU